AUACUAAAGAAUUUAUAUGUUAAUUUAUAGAAGAGACAGUGCUGGGGGGACGUGUUGUUGUAUGAUGGGAUCAGGAUUAAAAAAAAACAGUCCAAUGAACUAGAAUAAACUUACCAAGAUGAAAUAGAAAUAAAUGGAAAGUGCUGCAUUUAAAUUAGGAAAACAAUAUAAAAAUACAUGAUGGGGGCAGGGCAAGGUGAAAUGCAAUUUAAAACAGCUCAACAUGUGGUUUGAAACAGCUCAGUGUGAGCCAACAGCACAACACGAUUGCUAAAAAGCACGAGAUUAAGGGAGUGCAUGAUCCCUUGGUUAUCCCUCAGGUCAGGUGACAUGUGGAACAUUAGGGGCAGUGAUGGUGGCUGUAUCUUAAGGAUCCAUAUAAUAAAUGAGAGAGUUUCCAAGGACCAACCAGACUUCUGAAGGGCCUAGAAAUCACCUCUUUCAGAAAACAGCUUAGUUAACCAAAGGUGGCCUGGAGAAAAGAAGUUAGGACAAAUGCCUUAAAUGGCUGCUGGACUGAUUAGGAGAAAAGGGGAGGGGAUGUCUUUUGUCUUCUUAGAGGAUUAGGAAAAAGUACAAGCUUCAGGGAGGCAGACUCCAGCUCAAUGCAAAGGAAGAACUGCCUGUUCCAACUCCAGAAUGGGCUGCCUUUUAAGCAGAGAACUCCUAGCACCAGAAAUAUCCAACAAGAAGCUGAAUGAACCCUUAUUCAUUGGGACUCCUGAAUAGCCUCCUAACUGGUCUGUUCAUGUCCACCCUAGCUUCUGAAGAGUCCAUUCUCUUCACAAUCAUUCAAACAAUCUUUUAAAACCGCUAAUAAAAUCUAACUACUCUCUUAGGCUUCCCAAGGGGAUCCAAUUACUCUUAGAAUAAAACCCAAACUUGAGACUUUGGCCUUCAAGGCCCUAAAUAAUCUGGCCCUAACUUUCCCUGCACUCCAUCUCAAAUUAAUCUUCUUUCUCUUCACCAUCUCCAGAGCUCAGCUCUUCAUGAUGCUCUUAUUCCCACCUAAGGGGUUUUGCACAUCCUGAUGUUUAUUCCAUCAGAUGCUUACAAGGCUGACUCCUUUGGGUCUCUUCUAGGAAAACACCUCCUGAAAGAGCUGUGACCGCUUUAAUCUAAAACACCACCAUUCCUACUCACAUACACACCGUUUCCAUUACUUUUUCUUCAUAGCACUUACUCCUACCUGAAAUUACACUGACUUAUUUAUAUAUUGUCUGUGUUCCCUAGUAGUAAAUUCCAUGAAGGUAGCAACUUCGAUCUAGUUUGUCCACUGUUUUAAUUCUCAAUUCCUAAAACAGUACCUGUGCAUAUUAGGUACUUAGUAAAUAUUAGGUGAAUAAACACAUAAAUGAAUUAACAAACAUUUGUCAGAGAUGUUCUAGAAGGGAUGUAUGCCUUUAAUGGCAGAAGGGUGGCCUACCUAGUAUCUAAAAUUUAUCUUAUAUAUAAAUAACAAGCUACGCUAUUGUCGGAUCGUUGCUAGACGCUGACCUUGAGAACUGCCCACUAAUUAGAGUAUAUAUUACACGGAUAAUGCAGAUUGUCAGAUGAUUCUGACCUUUAAAGAUAAAUAAAGUAACUAGAUGUCGAACGCUACCCUAGUUGCUGAGACGGGGAAAGAUCAGGAAAUAGACGCGGAUGCUUUGUUUAAGUGCAUUUAAUUUGGCAAAUGAACGAGAAAGAUUACAGUUCUCCAAACCUUCCAUCACAGUGAUGACCUUAAUUUAUCAUUACUUUUCUGAACUUUACUUCACCAUCCCUUGUUUUUCUUUGUAGAUUUGCCCCAUGUGUUUGUAUCACUAUAGAAUACUUCAUUUUGUUUGGUAUUGAGCUUUAUUCAUCGAAUCGCUUCCUCUGGCACUUUGCUUCCCUCAGUAUUGCUUUUGGCAUUCAUCCACAUCAAAGCAAGUCUCUGUGCUUCUUUC